UUGUUUAAAAGGUAGAGUAAAUUUGGGGUAUGACAGUUGUUACAAGUGUUAAAUAUAAAUAUAAGAUAACAUAUAUUGUGAAUGAACACAUAUUAUAAAACACAUUAGUAAUUUUAAUUAUAUCAAAUGAUUUUUUUUCGUGAAGUAAAAUUAUAGAUGUGGAUCUUAGUCCUAUAUUAAAUACAAAAAUUAGUAUUUG
rnacentral:lncRNA from 1 species